UCCUUCUCCUGUAUCUCAUAAUGGCAUGUUGAUCUGAUAUGAAAUCAUAUCUUCCACUAUUGGUUCCAUUCCUUUCACGUAGAUAGAAACAAAAAUAAAGUUUUGGGUCCAAGUCAAACUGUUUAAAAGUCAGUUGUGAUCGACACAUAUAAGGUAAUGAGCAUAACUAUAUGCACGGUGGGUAGGAUCCCUCGAGUCAUGGACAUGUGCAUUCUGAAAUUAGAUUAAAGAUCCUCUCACAUAAUGUUAAGUAAAAUAUUAUUCAAAGGGAUAUGUCACACCCAUUUUAAUACAUAUGAAAAAUAUAAAUAAAUACAAAAUUUCAAUACGUCUAUAAAAAUACAAUUUGUUUAGAAAUCAAAUAAUAUGUAUCUAUCUAUCUAUCUUCAUCUGAAACGCAUUUGGGUUUCGAAAGAAAUUGAAAGCUAUAAAAAAACCAUUGAAAGCCUUCCUCGAAGAAUUUCAUGUCCCCGACCCCGACCAUCUCUGCUUCAGUCAAGGAUUCACAUUAGGGCUUCCGCAAUCUCCAUAUCCGCUUGGCAGUGAGGGUUUGCACAAAGAAAUCAAGGCUUCCUCAGCGAUUAGGAUUCGCUCCGUGUCUGUAAUCCGGGCUUCUGUGAGUAUGAAGAAGAAGCACCUCUCCUAAAGGCGUUGUUGUUUCAUUCCGUGCCAUCGCUGAUAACAUCUCUUGGUUGUGAUGUCUUUCAUUUGUGGCCUUGAAUUUCCUUCUUUGGGUAUGUUCACAAGUUGGCUUAUAUUUUUCCAAAAGGGAACAAUCUAAGAGGUGAAAUUGGUCACUUAAUCAUAUGGAAAACUUCUUUGUGCUCCACUUGAGUGGGAAAGACAUUGGUGGCAAAAGCAGUGGCAAGGAAAACGGGAUCAACCAGAUAAAAGGAGUAGAGACAAGAUCUAUGCACAACAUGCAACUAACAGAAAACUGCUUUCCCAGAAAACUACAAGAGAUUGGCGCAGGCUUGCUAAGUUGGAUACGCAAAGAGCAGGUCUUCUUAUCAACAUGUGGUCGCUGUUGUGGUAAUGCUAGAAGUUAUUUUGACUCAUAGUGGUAUGUAUGAGGUGGUAUGUAUGAGGCCAGGGUGUGGAAGAGUUGAUAAUAUGUGAUUUUUUUUUUGUCAAUACUGAUAUGAAGGGAAACUCUUGAUUUAAAAGAGUUUUUCUUUAUCCGAUGCCUUUUUUCUUUCUUCAUGUUAGCAUCUUUGAAUCUUAUAGUAAAUGUUGUUGCAAAGAAAGUCUUCAAGUUUGAUUAUGAUUUUUCAUUGGUUGUUUA